UACGUAGGCAGCGAGCGUUGUUCGGAGUUACUGGGCGUAAAGGGUGUGUAGGCGGUUCUCUAAGUUUGGGGUGAAAUCUCCCGGCUCAACCGGGAGGGUGCGCCGAAAACUGGGGGACUCGAGUGCGGGAUGGGAGAGUAGAAUUCCUGGUGUAGCGGUGAAAUGCGUAGAUAUCAGGAGGAAUACCGGUGGUGUAGACGGCUCUCUGGACCGCCACUGACGCUGAGACACGAAAGCGUGGGUAGCAAACAGG
rnacentral:rRNA from 1 species